rnacentral:misc_RNA from 1 species
ACCUUUUCUCCUCCAUGUCGAGUUUCAGUCGUCUGAUCGCUCCAUCUAUGGAAGUUACCGUUGAAGCUGUUUUGUCUUCAGAGGAUAGUUCAUCAUCAUCACUAUUUUCUAGACUUUUUGAUGAAUGACUUUGCUGAGAAUUAAUUGACCCAGGUCUGUUAUUUGAUGAUUCGCCGUUAAUACGUUCUUCUUCGCCUUUAACUUUCUUGCUUUCAAUGGAUA